UACGUAGGUGGCAAGCGUUGUCCGGAUUUAUUGGGCGUAAAGCGCGCGUAGGCGGCCUGUUAAGUCGAACGUGAAAUCCCCGGGCUCAACCCGGGAACUGCGUCCGAUACUGGCAGGCUUGAAUCCGGGAGAGGGAUGUGGAAUUCCAGGUGUAGCGGUGAAAUGCGUAGAUAUCUGGAGGAACACCGGUGGCGAAGGCGGCAUCCUGGACCGGUAUUGACGCUGAGGCGCGAAAGCCAGGGGAGCAAACGGG
rnacentral:rRNA from 1 species